AAAAGUAUGGCCAAACGUCUUCUCUGUGCACUGUGUGACACCUGAAUACGACCCAACCUCUACUUGUGAGAGCAUCACAUGGAAAUGAGCACCAGGAGUAGGACCAAGAGGAACCCCAUGGAAGCCACCAGGUUCCAGCUAACAAGAUGUCAACCGGACUUCCCUGGGCAGAAGACCCCACCAAUG